CACGUAGGGUGCGAGCGUUGUCCGGAAUUAUUGGGCGUAAAGAGCUCGUAGGCGGCUUGUCGCGUCGAAUGUGAAAUCCUGCGGCUCAACUGCAGGCUUGCAUUCGAUACGGGCAGGCUAGAGUUCGGUAGGGGAGACUGGAAUUCCUGGUGUAGCGGUGAAAUGCGCAGAUAUCAGGAGGAACACCGGUGGCGAAGGCGGGUCUCUGGGCCGAUACUGACGCUGAGGAGCGAAAGCGUGGGGGAGCGAACAGG
rnacentral:rRNA from 1 species